rnacentral:rRNA from 1 species
GAUGAACGCUAGCGGCAGGCCUAACACAUGCAAGUCGAGGGAGGAGCUUUCGGGCUUCGACCGGCGUACGGGUGCGUAACGCGUAUACAAUCUGCCUUUCACAUAGGGAUAGCCCGAAGAAUUUUGGAUUAAUACCUAAUGGUAUAUAGAGGUGGCAUCACCUUUAUAUUAAAGCUGAGGCGGUGAAAGAUGAGUAUGCGUUCUAUUAGCUAGUUGGAGAGGUAACGGCUCCCCAAGGCGACGAUAGAUAGGGGUUCUGAGAGAGAUAUCCCCCACACUGGUACUGAGAUACGGACCAGACUCCUACGGGAGGCAGCAGUGAGGAAUAGUGGACAAUGGUCGGAAGACUGAUCCAGCCAUGCCGCGUGCAGGAAGACGGCCUUAUGGGUUGUAAACUGCUUUUGCAGGGGAAGAAUAAGGACUACGCGUAGUUUGAUGACGGUACUCUGCGAAUAAGCAUCGGCUAACUCCGUG